AAAAGAUACACUUUGGAAGUAUUUUAGGGAAGUUCUAUGGCCUGUGUUUUUUACAGCAGGUCAGACUAAAUUAUCACAAUGGUCCUUUCUGGCCAGGAGAUCUAUGAAUCUAAGGUAAAGCAAGAAGUUUUAACAGAAAAUGAGUGCUUCCACUUCUGAAGUAGAAUGGUGGAUCAAUGGUGGAUGUUUUUUAAUUCAGCUAUUGCCUCCCUGGAAAACUGCAUUCUAGGAAGAUACAAAUACUUCCUGGAAUCUUGUUAGAUCUCUCAACACACUCUUCUCCAGUCAUAUGCUACAAACAACAUAGUAAAGGGGUUCCCCCCAAAAUUCCACUCUUCAGUCUGUGACUCUUGCUCUGUUACAAGGGAAAUGUGCUCACAAAGAAGAUGGAUGAAGAAUUACUCCAUUUCCCCCAAGACUAUAACCAAGCAGUGAGAUACACUGGGCACUUUGCUCCUGAAAAAAGAUAUCCUGAGCACAGCACAACAUUAAGGAAUAAGGGUGAAGAAUUUCUGUGGAAACACUUUGAAAAUAUCUGAAGAAGAGCUCUGUGUACCUUAAAAGCUUUCCUUUUCACCAACGGGGUCCAAUAAAAGAUAUUACCUCA